GAGCCUUCGAAGCAACACCGCCCGCAAUUAUACUUCUCCCCCCCUCCACAUCACUUCUCGCAAUUAUGGUUCGCCUCCCCUUCCCAUCACUUCUCUCACAUCUCUUAAUUAAUGCAACAUCAGGCUCCGGUAAAUUCAAAUUCAAAUUCCCGAACGUUGCCCCACUCCUUCCGAUGAUCGCCGGUCCUUUCCUGACAUCAGGCUCAGAUAAUUUCAAAAUCCGAACCGAUCCCCCGCGCCUUCCGACGAACGCCGGACCUUUCCUGGCCGAUUCCACCUCACCAAACCUAAUGGAGACAACUG
rnacentral:lncRNA from 1 species